rnacentral:rRNA from 1 species
AACGAACGCUGGCGGCAUGCCUAACACAUGCAAGUCGAACGAGAUCUUCGGGUCUAGUGGCGCACGGGUGCGUAACGCGUGGGAAUCUGCCCUUUGGUUCGGAAUAACAGUUGGAAACGACUGCUAAUACCGGAUGAUGACGAAAGUCCAAAGAUUUAUCGCCAGAGGAUGAGCCCGCGUAGGAUUAGCUAGUUGGUGUGGUAAAGGCGCACCAAUGCGACGAUCCUUAGGUGGUCUGAGAGGAUGAUCAGCCACACUGGGACUGAGACAUGGCACAGCCUCCUGCGGGCGGCAGCAGUGGGGAAUAUUGGACAAUGGGAGGAAGCCUGAUCCAGCAAUGCCGCGUGAGUGAUGAAGGACUUAGGGUUAUAAAGCUCUUUUACCCGGGAUGAUAAUGAUAGUACCGGGAGAAUAAGCUCCGGCUAACUCCGUGCCAGCCGCCGCGGUAA